UACGAAGGGGGCUAGCGUUGCUCGGAAUCACUGGGCGUAAAGCGCACGUAGGCGGCUUCUCAAGUCAGGGGUGAAAUCCUGGAGCUCAACUCCAGAACUGCCUUUGAUACUGAGGGGCUCGAGUCCGGUAGAGGUGAGUGGAACUGCGAGUGUAGAGGUGAAAUGCGCAGAUAUCAGGAAGAACACCCGUGGCGAAGGCGGCUCUCUGGAACGCAACUGACGCUGAGGCGCGAAAGCGUGGGGAGCAAACAGG
rnacentral:rRNA from 1 species